AAAGUGCUAGUUUACUUAAAACUUUCAGUUGCAAGCUGGGUGAAGCUCUAAGCGUACUUUU
rnacentral:tRNA from 1 species